AUCGCUUCUCGGCCUUUUGGCUAAGAUCAAGUGUAGUACCUGUUCUUAGGAGAUGAAAUUAGUAUAAUUUCCCUUUUUACUAGUGGCAUUACUGUUGAUUUCAUUUGAGGGGGGGGGAUUAUCACUGUGGUGUAAACCUGGCCUUCAGGGCCAUUUUGUUUAUUCCAGAAAGUUAUCUUGCACUUAUU